rnacentral:piRNA from 1 species
UCACUCCUAAGAGGGACCUGAAGAAAAAGA